UGUCAAGAAGGUCCAGGGUGCUGGUGGC
rnacentral:piRNA from 1 species